CCUACGGGAGGCAGCAGUAGGGAAUAUUCGUCAAUGGGCGCAAGCCUGAACGAGCGAUGCCGCGUGAGUGAAGAAGGCCCUCGGGUCGUAAAGCUCUGUUGCGGGGGAAAAAAAGCAGCAUCAGGAAAUGGGUGCUGACUGAUGGUGCGCCGCCAGAAAGUCACGGCUAACUACGUGCCAGCAGCCGCGGUAAUACGUAGGUGGCAAGCGUUAUCCGGAUUUAUUGGGCGUAAAGCGAGCGCGGGCGGUUGCUUAGGUCUGAUGUGAAAGUCUUCGGCUUAACCGAAGAAGUGCAUCGGAAACCGGGCGACUUGAGUGCAGAAGAGGAAAGCGGAAUUCGAGGUGUAGCGGUGGAAUGCGUAGAUAUCAGGAAGAACACCGGUGGCGAAGGCAGCUGUCUGGUCUGCAACUGACGCUGAGGCUCGAAAGCGUGGGUAGCGAACAGGAUUAGAUACCCUGGUAGUC
rnacentral:rRNA from 1 species